rnacentral:tRNA from 1 species
ACCUGGCUGGCUCAGUUGAUAGAGUAUGUGACUCUUGAUCUUGGGGUUGUGAGUUCAACCCCCGUGUUGGGUG